AGGAAUUCGAACAUGCUUGUGGUGAUAAAUAUGUGACAAUUAUUCGGUUUUCCAUGUGAAUUAAGUCGGCCCAAAGGAAGGCUUGAUUUUGACAGGAGUUUAUUGUCAAUAUUUGAUUACUACACCAAGAGUACCACUUAAAGUUGAUUUUGUGUCCAAAGACUAAAAUCAAUGUUGUGCUAGGUAUCUUGUAAUGGGAUUUG
rnacentral:lncRNA from 1 species